UACGUAGGGUGCGAGCGUUAAUCGGAAUUACUGGGCGUAAAGCGUGCGCAGGCGGUUCGCUGUGUCCGAUGUGAAAGCCCCGGGCUUAACCUGGGAAUGGCAUUGGAAACUGGCGGGCUUGAGUGCGGCAGAGGGGGGUGGAAUUCCGCGUGUAGCAGUGAAAUGCGUAGAGAUGCGGAGGAACACCGAUGGCGAAGGCAGCCCCCUGGGCUGACACUGACGCUCAGGCACGAAAGCGUGGGGAGCAAACAGG
rnacentral:rRNA from 1 species